UCCGGGGUAGCUCAAUGGCAGAGCAGCUGCCUGUUAAGCAGUUGGUUGGCGGUUCGAGUCCGCCCCCCGGAG
rnacentral:tRNA from 1 species